rnacentral:rRNA from 1 species
GCAUAUCAAUAAGCGCAGGAAAAGAAACCAACAGGGAUUGCCUCAGUAACGGCGAGUGAAGCGGCAACAGCUCAAAUUUGAAAUCUGGCCUCUCGGGGUCCGAGUUGUAAUUUGUAGAGGAUGUUUUGGGUACCGCCCCGGUCUAAAUUUCUUGGAACAGAAUGUCAAAGAGGGUGAGAAUCCCGUCUUGGACCGGCGGUAGGGCCUGUGUAAAACUCCUUCGACGAGUCGAGUUGUUUGGGAAUGCAGCUCAAAAUGGGUGGUAAAUUUCAUCUAAAGCUAAAUAUUGGCCAGAGACCGAUAGCGCACAAGUAGAGUGAUCGAAAGAUGAAAAGCACUUUGAAAAGAGAGUUAAACAGUAUGUGAAAUUGUUGAAAGGGAAGCGCUUGCAACCAGACUUGAGCGCGGCGGUUCCCCUGGCCUUUUGGCCAGGUUACUCCGUCGUGUCCAGGCCAACAUCGGUUUCGAGGGUCGGUUAAAGGCUCCGGGAAUGUAUCUACUCACGGGUAGACUUAUAGACCGGGGUGUCAUGCGACCUCUCGGGACCGAGGAACGCGCUUCGGCUCGGAUGUUGGCGUAAUGGUUGUCAGCGACCCGUCUUGAAACACGGACCAAGGAGUCUAACAUCUAUGCGAGUGUUUGGGUGUCAAACCCGGAACGCGAAAUGAAAGUGAACGGAGGUAGGAAGCUUCGGCUGCACUAUCGACCGAUCCUGAAGUUUACGGAUGGAUUUGAGUAAGAGCAUAGCUGUUGGGACCCGAAAGAUGGUGAACUAUGCCUGAAUAGGGUGAAGCCAGAGGAAACUCUGGUGGAGGCUCGCAGCGGUUCUGACGUGCAAAUCGAUCGUCAAAUUUGGGUAUAGGGGCGAAAGACUAAUCGAACCAUCUGGUAGCUGGUUCCUGCCGA